ensembl:snoRNA small nucleolar RNA SNORD65
UUGUGAUGAAAUGUUAAACUAACGCUGGAAUUACCGGCAGAUUGUUUAGUGGUGAUAACUAGUUUUCUGAAC